CAAAGACUAGGAAAGAGAAUGUUCCAGGUAAAAGGCACAGCUUAUGCCAAAUGUUUCCAAGCAGCAAAGAACACGGCACCAUGGAGCAGUGGGGUCCCCUCGACCAGGACAAGAGUGACCCUGCCUAAGAACCGCCCUUCAGAGGGUUCUGGAGAAUGUCCACCCCCAAACAAAUCCAUGCCAAGAACCACAGGGUGCCUGGCGCUCAGCAGGCUGUAAACGUAAACAUCCCCGUUCUAACACUGUUCAGGCCCCAGGGAACACUGCUCCACAUCUCUUGCCCACUGUUCUCAGAACAAAGAUUCCUGCACCGGCCUGUGGGAGGCGUGUCGGUUGAGCUUCGGCCAAUGCCAGAGAUGGACCCUGCUUUGGAGCUGCGGGGAAGAUUUGAGCAGCAGAAGCUUUUAAGUGAAAGAAAAGGGGAAGAGAUGUGGAUUCCUUGCACCCCUGGUGGAGCACCGCCCCUGGCAGUUGUUCAGAGUCCAUUUGUGUCUCCAGUGUGGUGCUCACGUGUGGCAGAGAGGUGCAGUCACUUGCCCAAGGACACAGCCAGUACGCAGCAGAACGCGGGGCCCCACAUCCUCAGGCCUCGCUCCAGCGUGGGUGCUGGCGCGCCUGGGAGCACACCUUCCACUAUCCUCCCUGCGGUAGAACCUGGACUUCUGCUCCAGGCUUGGACUGUCACGUGGCACUCUCGCCCUCCACUGCAUCUGUGAGGCUGGCGGAAGCGGAACACCUCGGUUCAGAUCGCUUAUGGGAAGUUUGCCAUUACCCCCAGAGCCCCAAGAAACAGAAAACAGAAUGGGUGAAUUUAGAGCAGUGGUUCUCACUGGCUGCCCACAAGAAUACUUAGGGGAGCUUCACAAAACCCCAGUGCUCAAGCCAUAUCCCAGACCAAUUAACCAGAAUCUCUGGGGUGGAGCCCAGGCAUUAGUAGUCGUUAAGGUUCCCCAGGUGAAUUAAAUGUCCGGCCAAGGUGGGGAAUCACUAGUUUAGAGGCCUUGUAGCUUGGUAGAAAUAGCCGUGGUUUAAGAUCCACCUGGGUUUGAGACUUGGCUCUGCCAUUGCAAGCUGUGUGACUGUGUGCCAGUCACUUAACUUCUCUGAGCCUCAAUUUCCUUAUCUGUGGAAACGGUAUAAGUCCCUCUACUUUAUGUGAGGGCUGAAUGAGACAAUGUCUGUAAGGCCCCCAGCACAGAGCUGGCACUCAGCUCCAUCCUUACUAUUAAGGAGGGGGCAGGACAGACCAGGCUGUGCAGGACCAUCCAGGGAGGCAGAGCUGUGCCAAUGACUCACCAUCACUAGGUUGAGGCUGUGGAAUGGACUCUCGGGGCUGCUGGGACCCUCAGACCCCAGGCCCUCCCGCCUUGGUCUUCCGCCCUUACGGAGGGACUUGAGGCUUCUGAGUAGGGUGGCGACAGGAACCUACCCGCUGCGAGAGGGCCAGCCAGGCUGAAGGAGAGGACCACUGGGAAUAACGCAAAGAUUUUCGAAAACUUUUUUGAGUACUAGGUUGUCUUCCUGUGCCCGUGUCCUAUGCUGAACCUUCUUAGAACAAAAGUCAAAGGGGCAAGGUCAGUCAGUUCAUGAUCUACCUGAAGGCAAGUGGGUUCUGCACAUACCUUUGCAUCCUGCUCUGCAAACUUCUUGAACAUGUUGGCAUAUAUCCUGCGGUCCCGCUCAUUGUGCUCCUUAGCCUUUUUCUGGCACAUGGAGAUCUGCAGUCUCGCGGCCUUAUUCUGGGGGUUUACUUCCAGCACUUUCUCAAAGUCGCCCUUGGCUGACUCAAACUCAUUCAUGAGCAGCUGGGCUUCACCCCUCCUGUACAAGCCCUUCUCAUUGGCACUGUCCAGUCCAAGGGCCUAGGGACAGAUGGUCUAUGUUUUAGAAAGGAUGCAUGUACCUUGUGGGAAUUUGGAGAGAAAGGUCUCUGGCCAAGGGAACUGGAAAAGGCAUAUUGAAAAGAUCAGGCUCAAGGUAGUUAUAUACUACUGAUCAAAAUAUCCAAAUUAAUUUCUAUAUUUAAUGCAAUUUCUAUAAAGGUUCCCAGGGGACUUGGGAGGAGGACUUUUGAAAAGUUCAUAUAAAGUCCAGUGGAAGAAGUAAAUGACUAAGAAUGGCAGAGAAAAUUCUGGAAACACAAAAAUAAUGAGGGGACUUGACCCACCAGAGAAAAAGAUAUACUAUUCAACUAUUGAAACUAUUAAAACUACUAUUAAAACAGUGGUAAGUACUCCACAGACAAAGAGGUCAGUGGAAGAGAACAAGGCAUUCAGAAACAGACUCAUGUGUAUGUAUACAAAAAGAUUUAAUAAUCACAAAGAUGGUAAUGUAAAUCGUGUAGGGAAAGGAUUAACUUCCCAAUAAAUGGGGCCAAGGCAGUGACUAUCCAUGUAGAAAAUAAGUUAGAUUCUUACCUCGUAUCAUAAACACACAAAUUCUAGACCAACUAGAUGCAAAAGACCCCCCCCAUAAAAUAUA